GACUGUACAGCUCCAAAUAAUGCAGAGCUCCCUGGAGAUGGCACUCUCAGCUGAUGUUCCAGCGUGGGCUCCUGGCCCUGUAGCAAGCACAGAGGAGAUGUCUGAAAUAUCUGUCAUACUAAAGGCUGUUUCCCUCUUUUCCUCUGAAUAAAGCCAGCCCCAGCAGCAGGAUAGUCCUUCAGGCACCCCCAGAAGGGGCCGUGCACCCAUCCCACACUGAGGCUCUCCCUGAAGGAGGACAACCCUGCAGCAGCCAGUGAUGCCAUAGCACCCCAUGGAGGCUGUCAUGCUGGGUGAUGUGCUGGAUACCAAUAGCGUAAUCAAUGCGUAAGCUGCUAAUUAAAAUUAGUAUGUUGCAGUGAAAAGGCACUUGUGCAGCAGACCUUGAAAUGCACUGUUUGCAUAGUUGGUGGGAGACAGCUAAUGCUUCUGCAGCAACUCGGUGCUUCGUGUAUGAAAUCCUAUGGGCCUCCCUGUUGCAGGCACUGGAGGUCCUUGUGCAGCCCUGGAGGAAUUACAGGUCCUAUCUCGUCCCAGGAUUUCCAGCCAUCACAGCAGAGCUGGGAGUAAGGUCUGGGUUCAGUUUGUACUGAAAUAGUGCCUAAAGGUUCUGGCUGUGAUGUCAGCUGCUUGCUCGCUCCUACCUGCAUGCAGGAGGUGAGGGAGGCUCUGCUUUAAUUGUUGUUUGCUGAAUUACUUUGAGAUCAUUGGAGGAAAAAUGUGGUUGUAGGUGAUGCAUGUAUAGAGCCAGGUGCCAACUCACUCUUCUCCUUGGCCAUGUGUGAAGCUGAGCAGGUUCAGCAUUUUUGCCACCCUUGCUGGGCAGGGACUGUCCUGCAGUCUGUGGCUGUUGCUUUGCCUCCAAGUGUAUAAAUGCCAAUCACUUUCUUCCAGUUUUCUGCCUUUGGACCAGCUCUGUGUGCCUCCUUCCCCAGGCCUGGAUCUCAUGGUGGUGCUCAUGCUACAGAAGAUGCUGUGCAGGGAUGAUGAUGGCAACAGGAGCCUGAGAUGUGAAAGCUGCUGAAGCUCCAUGGGCAACAAGUCAGUCCUGUGCUGUCAGCUGGUGUCACCAUGAGGAUGUGAUGGGAGAAGGGUUGGACCUGCAGGACCCUGUGCUGCGUGCACAGCCAUGAAGGUUGUCCUUACCACCGCUUUCCUUUGUGACAAAGCAUACCAUGCUGAAAUGAAAGUGAGAUCUUCAUCAAAGAGCACAGUGUGUCUUUGGGUGUGAUUUCUUUGUGGGAACAAACGCCUACUGAUUCAUGCAGACACAGUCCUGGGUGAGGAGGACAGCUUCCAUUGCAGCUAUGCAGCACCCAGCUCAACAGGAAUGGAGAAUAACGUCAACAAAAGGAACAGAACUGGACCUUGCCUGAUGCAGACACACUGGGACUUGUCAGAGUUAUCAAAGCUCCCAGAAACGUUGCUCUUAGUACUAGCAGUGUGUGUGCCACUCUUCCUGCAGCAAAGGGAAGCUCAAAGGAAGGCAGCAGGUUUGUCCCAGUGCAACACUGUGCAGCUCCGGUCCCGUGCUGAAACAAAAGUCCCAAUGGUGCAACUGGAAUGGACCUUCAUGCUGCACUUCAGCCCUUCUUCCCAUCCAAACCAAAGUCCUCUGCUUCUCCAAAGGAACAGCCGCCUCUGUAGCUUCUGUGACACCGCCUGGAGGCCGCAGGGAGCUCGGGGCCGUCUGCUGGACUCCUCCUGCUGUCCUGGUGCAGCAGCUCAGAGGACAGCAGUGCCAGUCGUUCCCAUUUCCUCAGAGCUCGGGGAAGAAGAGGAUGGUGUUGGCUUUCAGUGAGAACUGUCCUGCCUUUCUUUACCUCAAACUAGAAGUGGGGUAAAGUAAAUCCUUCAGGCAUACCUUCCAGGGGAGCAGCAGUCACUUCCUCCAGAGGCUGCAUUAAGCACAGCAACAGAUCAGAGCAGAUGUGGCUCAAUGAAACCAUCGUGCAGCUCAGGAUGAGUGAGGUGGCUACAGACAGCUUUGAAUAUGUGUGUGCUUGUGUGUCUGUGUACAAUAUAGCCGAAGAAGCCUCCACUGCUGUUUGUGCUGCAGAACAGAUGACUUGGAAAAGGCUCUCGAAGUUCUGGGACUUCACCCUGACAUGUCCUGGAUUUGAACAUCCCCAGGUCUGGAGGCUGCCUGCUGGCUGGUGUGGGCUUAUCUCUGCAGGAGGCAAGCUGAAGCGCUCCGUGCCAUUGCCAUGCUUUUUAAAUGUAAGUGCAGAGCUCUCUUGUUCAGUGCCUUGGAACAUAACUGAUGACAAAAGAGAUUGGGCGUUUGGAUAAGAUAAGAAUUAAAUUGAAAAUUUGUCCUGAAACAACAGUGCUCUUGAACUUUCCAGGAGAUGCAAAAAGUUGUGCUUGUUUUUAAAACAGUUUUCCAGUUUUCUUCAUCUCCUGAAAUUGUCUGUGCUGACAUAGUGCUCGUGUGCAAAAGCAAUCAACAGCUCCAAACAGCACAGGGUGACAGUAAAUUUGCCUCAGUAAGACUUCAUCGUGGCAGACUUCCCUGGCUCUGUUUUGUCACGGCAAAACACUGCAGGAGGUGUGAGCACCACAUGUGGCUGAAAGCCUUUGGAGAUGCUUCUAUAAUUUGUGAAGCAAGGGCUGACC
rnacentral:lncRNA from 1 species